CCGCCCGUCGUCGUUGCCGUCCUCGUUAGUGGUUGCUCCCUUUGCCGCUUCAGAGAUGUCCACAGGAUCGAAGGCGUCGCUGUCGUUUAGUUCACAUCGCUAGGGUGGCCGGAGAGCCACCAUACCGUCGGCCCCGUCUUCAUCUCCGGCGGGAACCAGGUGCCUGAACCCCCUGUAGUGGCUACGUCGUACGCCUCCUCAUUGUCCUGAUCCCCGACGCGUAACCCCUGUUUAAGCGAAACCCCCAUCCCCGGCUCGAUCCUGCGCGUAGUCGCUACAUAGAAUGCCGGAGCUUGCCGCAGUCGCCAUCUCCGCUGCAGGGAGAACCUUGCGCAGCUCGGGGCCGUGCCCAUGUAGAUCGCGUCGGGUUAGCCCCCGGAAUGGGACCCCCCAGGGCACCCCUACG
rnacentral:lncRNA from 1 species